GACGAACGCUGGCGGCGUGCUUAACACAUGCAAGUCGAACGCUGAAGACCUGGCUUUUGUUGGGUUGGAUGAGUGGCGAACGGGUGAGUAACACGUGAGUAACCUGCCCUCUUCUUUGGGAUAACGCCCGGAAACGGGUGCUAAUACUGGAUAUUCACUGGCCUUCGCAUGGGGGUUGGUGGAAAGGUUUGUUCUGGUGGGGGAUGGGCUCGCGGCCUAUCAGCUUGUUGGUGGGGUGAUGGCCUACCAAGGCUUUGACGGGUAGCCGGCCUGAGAGGGUGACCGGUCACAUUGGGACUGGGAUACGGCCCAGACUCCUACGGGAGGCAGCAGUGGGGAAUAUUGCACAAUGGGCGAAAGCCGGAUGCAGCGACGCCGCGUGAGGGAUGGAGGCCUUCGGGUUGUAAACCUCUUUCGCUCAUGGUCAAGCCGCAACUGUGGGUUGUGGUGAGGGUAGUGGGUAAAGAAGCGCCGGCUAACUACGUG
rnacentral:rRNA from 1 species